rnacentral:rRNA from 1 species
CACGCCGUAAACUAUCAAUACUCGUUUUCAGCGAUAUACUGUUGGAGACUAAGCGAAAGUGAUAAGUAUUGCACCUGGGGAGUACGAUCGCAAGGUUGAAACUCAAAGGAAUUGACGGGGGCCCGCACAAGCGGUGGAGCAUGUGGUUUAAUUCGAUGAUACGCGAGGAACCUUACCAGGGCUUAAAUGUAGAGGGAAUGUAGUGGAAACAUUGCAGUCUUCGGACCGUCUACAAGGUGC